rnacentral:rRNA from 1 species
GACGAACGCUGGCGGCGUGCUUAACACAUGCAAGUCGAACGGAUUGGCGAACGGGUGAGUAUUACGUGAGUAACCUGCCCUCAACUGUGGGAUAAGCCUGGGAAACUGGGUCUACUACUUCAUAGUUGGGGAUGGGCUCUCGGCCUAUCAGCUUGUGGGUGGGGUGAUGGCCUACCAAGACGGCGAAGGGUAGCCGGCCUGAGAGGGUGGUCGGCCACAUUGGGACUGAGAUACGGCCCAGACUCCUACGGGAGGCAGCAGGGGGGGAUAUUGCACAAUGGGCGCAAGCCUGAUGCAGCGACGCCGCGUGAGGGAUGAAGGCUUUCGGGUUGUAAAGCUCUGUUGUAAGAGAAGCGAUAUCUUAACAGAAAGCAACGGCUAACUACGUGCCAGCAGCCGCGGUAAUAC